AUGACACAUAGAGCAAGGAUUCCUUAGGGGAGGUCAUGUGACCUGAUUAAGCCCAGAAGAACGAGGUAACAAUGAGCACAACCCACAGCACAGCGAACACAGGAGCGCAGUCGUGUUACUCUCAGUUCUACAUGGAGAAAUCAUUCAUCUUACUGAUUGUCACCAUCACCACAGGACUGAGUGCUGGUGAUGAUAUCAGACCUGAAAAGGAUCAACAGUCCGGUACAGAAGGAGAAUCAGUGACACUGAGCUGUAAAUACAGUACUAACAGUGAAGAUGUUUAUCUCUACUGGUACAGACAGAACCCGAACCAGGCUCCUCAGUACCUCCUCUACAAGGGGGCCCGAUCAGACAGUAGUGCUGAACACAGUACAAAUAAGAGAUUCAAAUGUACCACAUCCAGGGACUCAACCCAGCUCACCAUCGAAGCUCUUACCAUGUCAGACACAGCCAUCUACUACUGUGCUCUGAGGGUGGCACAGUGGAGUUACAGACUGAAGCUGAAGUCGCACCUCCAUGUCCAGUAUAUGCUGAGACGUGACAAAUACAGCAACGAUACAGUACAAGAGUACAAGAAGAGAUUUAAUACAAAACUCAACACAAGUUCAGUACCUUUGACAAUAGAGGAUGUGCAGCUGUGUGACUCUGCUGUGUAUUACUGUGCGCUG